UCCGAGUUGACCCCGGCAGUCUCCCAUGAGUCCCCACCAUUAUGUGCUGGCAACAUGGAACGAGGGUUGCGCUCGUUGCGGGACUUAACCCAACAUCUCACGACACGAGCUGACGACAGCCAUGCAGCACCGUCUCACUGGUUCCCCGAAGGGCACCCCGCCAUCUCUGGCAGGUUCCAGUGGAUUUAACCCAGGUAAGGUUCUGCGCGUUGCGUCGAAUUGAACCACAUGCUCCACCGCUUGUGCGGGCCCCUGUCAAUUCCUUUGAGUCUUAGCCUUGCGGCCGUACUCCCCAGGCGGAGUGCUUAAUGCGUUAGCUGCGGCACAGAGAGGGUUGAAGACCUCCCCACACCUAGCACUCAACGUUUACGGCUGGGACUAC
rnacentral:misc_RNA from 1 species